CACCACAAAGGUCACAGCAGCUCCCACCACAGGCAGGGCACUGCUGGGGGCUGCAAGUGUCUUAUUCCUCAGCAGCCGCGUGGGGGCAGCUCUGGCUCACCCCACUUCCAGGUGAGAAGUCGAGGCCCAGCAAGGUCAUGAAUCUUACCCAGGUUAUCCCUGGCAGUGGAUAGUGGGCCAGGACUCCCCAGAAUACAAAGCCAAUCUGAGGCAGCCGUUUAAGAAUCUUUCCCGGCUCCCACCGCCUUGUCUGGACAGCGAGAAGCCCCUUCAGGUGGAAGGGGGUGGAGAGACUUGGCGUUACUGCCCGGACUCACUGGCCCAUCUCUUCUCCCAUGGCUGCCCCCAGCUACGGCUGCAUCAAGCUGUGGCUGGGAAAAGGGGAUGCCUCGCAGGGCCCUGAGGCCCCAGACCUUGGCAGUGCUAUGUGGCUGGUGCAUCUCAGCCCCAUGACGAGUGUGAGGCCUGGGGCUGCCUGACAGCUCCCCAGCAGCUCUGGCUGGCCCCAGGAGUGGCACUGCCCCGUCCCUCUGAGGUCCUGGGCCUGCCCAGAUGGUCUACUUGGAAGGCUUGGCUUGUGGGCCUGUCCCAGGAGGGUGCUGGUCCUCUCAGCAGGACGUGGGGACUAGGGUUGGGGGAACUCGGGAGGAUUCAUAAGGGUCCCAGAUCACGUCCUGGGGACUUGGCAGCCACAGCCUUCCCUGCGUGGCCAUGGGCCUCAUGGAUUCCCCUGGUGGACACCAGGAAGGUGGCCUGGGAGAAGGCAGGAAGAGGAGGCCAACAGGGACAGAGGAAGCAGGAGUGUCCAGCCUACAAGUGCGUGCAUAGACAGAGCCCUGAGACCUGCUGCACUGAGGUCAAUCCUGCCUGACCUCACUGAGAUUCAAUCCUGCCUGACUUAGGAAUAAUCAAGAGACCGGGAAUUUUCUCACUCUAGUUUUUAGAGAAAUAGAAAAUUUCAAACCACGUUAAAAAGUUAUUUAAUAAAAUCUUCAAUAUUUUUCAUACAUA